rnacentral:rRNA from 1 species
CACGUAGGGUGCGAGCGUUGUCCGGAAUUAUUGGGCGUAAAGCGCUCGUAGGCGGUGUGUCGCGUCGGCCGUGAAAACCUGCAGCUCAACUGUGGGCUUGCGGUCGAUACGGGCAUCACUGGAGUUCGGCAGGGGAGACUGGAAUUCCUGGUGUAGCGGUGAAAUGCGUAGAGAUGUGGAGGAACACCGAUGGCGAAGGCGGGUCUCUGGGCAUUUCCUGACGCUGAGGCGCGAAAGCGUGGGGAGCAAACGGG